AUGGGCAAUUCUGUUUAAUUUAAAUGUAGGUUUGAGUUACCCUUGACUUUUGACUGGGUCAAAAUCGAAACCCGAUUUCUGAUUGAAGUCUCGAUAUAGUCGAUCAAAAAGGCUCCAACAGGCGUCGUGUUCAAACGGACGAUGGAGAAGGAACGGGAACGAAAGCAAUGGACGAAUACAGUGAGAGGGGAAAACACGAAGGCUCGCAGGCACGACUUCGUUGCUCGACCACGAGAAGGUUCAUCUCCGGGGUUCGACUAGACUGAAGAACGAAGGGAGAAGCAGCGGAUGCGCUCUCCUCGGUCGUCUGCUAGGUGCGAAGGAGACGAAUGGAUUGGCGACGUGUGCGAUUGUCUCUGGGGUUUGACAAAGCCGAAGAGACGGAGAAGCAGCGAAGCUGCUGCGGUCUCGGUGGGGGCAGCGAUGGGGCGAUCGGCGGUUGAGAAACGAGGUCGAUUGAAGGCAGUGGCAAGUUGGAUCAGUGAGUAGUGGUGGGGAGGUACAACUGAUCUCCAGGGAGUCCUCGUGAUUUCCAUUCUCGUCUUCAGCAGUAGAACACAAAGAAGGAGCAGGGCAUUUAGGUGAUGAUUCUUCAACAGGAAAUGAACGGGAUCAACAGGAUUCGAUAGGGUUGUUGCUGUUUAACAAGGGAAAUAGGAAAACAGAUGAGGGAAAGGGGUGUUUUUGGCUGAUGAGGUUCAACAGGAAAAGGGGAAGGAUGGGACUGUCUUGGCCGGCGACAGUCACCGGUCUUCUUCUUUAUGUGGCCGACGAUCAAGAGGAACCGGAAGGAGGGCUCAAGGGUGAGGGAGACGUAUACUCAUGGUGUACCAAAUUAUUGAAAAUGAUAUAAAAUCUGAUUUUUCCCAAGAUUUAGUAGAUUGUAAUUGAUUUUAGGUGGUACAAAAUCAGAUUCAAAAAGAUAUCUGUUGUAAACUCAAAUGCAUUGUAUUUUUAUUUCUUUAUUUUGUGAUGAAAUCUCCGAUUCUCGA